CGCGUGAGGAACCUGCCUCAAAGAGGGGGACAACAGUUGGAAACGACUGCUAAUACCGCAUAAGCCCACGACCCGGCAUCGGGAAGAGGGAAAAGGAGCAAUCCGCUUUGAGAUGGCCUCGCGUCCGAUUAGCUGGUUGGUGAGGUAACGGCCCACCAAGGCGACGAUCGGUAGCCGGACUGAGAGGUUGAACGGCCACAUUGGGACUGAGACACGGCCCAGACUCCUACGGGAGGCAGCAGUGGGGAAUAUUGCACAAUGGGGGAAACCCUGAUGCAGCGACGCCGCGUGGAGGAAGAAGGUCUUCGGAUUGUAAACUCCUGUUGUUGAGGAAGAUAAUGACGGUACUCAACAAGGAAGUGACGGCUAACUACGUGCCAGCAGCCGCGGUAAAACGUAGGUCACAAGCGUUGUCCGGAAUUACUGGGUGUAAAGGGAGCGCAGGCGGGCGAUCAAGUUGGAAGUGAAAUCCAUGGGCUCAACCCAUGAACUGCUUUCAAAACUGGUCGUCUUGAGUAGUGCAGAGGUAGGCGGAAUUCCCGGUGUAGCGGUGGAAUGCGUAGAUAUCGGGAGGAACACCAGUGG
rnacentral:rRNA from 1 species